GGCGACUUAGCCAAGUGGUAAGGCACGGCUCUGCAAAAGCCUGAUCAUCAGUUCAAAUCUGAUAGUCGCCUCCA
rnacentral:tRNA from 1 species